rnacentral:rRNA from 1 species
UACGGAGGGUCCAAGCGUUAUCCGGAAUCAUUGGGUUUAAAGGGUCCGUAGGCGGGCUAGUAAGUCAGUGGUGAAAUCUCCCGGCUCAACCGGGAAAUGGCCAUUGAUACUGCUAGUCUUGAAUUAUUGGGAAGUAACUAGAAUAUGUAGUGUAGCGGUGAAAUGCUUAGAGAUUACAUGGAAUACCAAUUGCGAAGGCAGGUUACUAUCAAUAUAUUGACGCUGAUGGACGAAAGCGUGGGUAGCGAACAGG